GUGCUCGCUUCGGCAGCACAUAUACUAAAAUUGGAACGAUACAGAGAAAAUUAGCACGGCCCCUGGGCAAGGAUGACAUGCAAAUUCGUGAAGCCUUCCAUAUUUUU
ensembl:snRNA U6 U6 spliceosomal RNA